GGUGAACGCUGGCGGUAGGCCUAACACAUGCAAGUCGAACGGCAGCACAGUAAGAGCUUGCUCUUACGGGUGGCGAGUGGCGGACGGGUGAGGAAUACAUCGGAAUCUACUUUUUCGUGGGGGAUAACGUAGGGAAACUUACGCUAAUACCGCAUACGACCUACGGGUGAAAGCAGGGGAUCUUCGGACCUUGCGCGAUUGAAUGAGCCGAUGUCGGAUUAGCUAGUUGGCGGGGUAAAGGCCCACCAGGGCGACGAUCCGUAGCUGGUCUGAGAGGAUGAUCAGCCACACUGGAACUGAGACACGGUCCAGACUCCUACGGGAGGCAGCAGUGGGGAAUAUUGGACAAUGGGCGCAAGCCUGAUCCAGCCAUACCGCGUGGGUGAAGAAGGCCUUCGGGUUGUAAAGCCCUUUUGUUGGGAAAGAAAAGCAGCAGGUUAAUACCCCGCUGUUCUGACGGUACCCAAAGAAUAAGCACCGGCUAACUUCGUG
rnacentral:rRNA from 1 species